rnacentral:rRNA from 1 species
AUGGCAUGGAAUUUGAGCAUAACCUCUGAUACCUUGACCUGCAUGGUCAGCCAUAAUGCCCUGCAAUGCGCAAAGGUUGUGUUGCAGGGCAAGGCAUCUCGGCUCCAUGGUCUCCAUGCCAAUCCCAACUGCAUGAACCCGCACGGAUACUUUCCAAUCCAUGGAGCUGCUGAACGGUUCUCUGUUAACAUGAUCAAGUUGCUCUUCCGCCAUGGUGCUUCAGCCAAUGUUCGCACAGUCGGCGAUGCCGUCGUUCAGGAUUUACUCCCACUCCAUGUUGCGGUCGAGAAUGGUUGCAUGCAUAAGUAUCUGGAGGACAACCUCCUUCCUAUGCAGUAUCAUCCGGAUUAUAUAUACAAGCUCAUUCAUCUGUUGUGCCUACCUGAGAUGAAGAUCUUCCUCGAUACGGUUAGGCCUCUUGCUGGAAAAACAGAUAAUCUAGUUCAUGAGAUCUGGAACUACAUUAUGAAUGGAAAGCUUGUUCAGGCUACAGUUUUACUACUGGCAGCCCAAAAGCAGAUACGGAAGUAUGAUUUGUUUAAUACUAUCAUGUAUCAUAUAUUCAGAAAAACUUCUUUGAUAAGCUUUGGGAACGGUGAUAAUGGCGAGGCACGGAAGCAGAUGGAAGAAGUAUUUCAUCUUGUUAAUAUAAUUUCCCGUGCUGGUGAAGCUCUUGAUAAAUAUAUCCAGGCACAUUCAGAGGUGUCACACACGGAGGUCCUUGAACAUGUCUCAACUAUACUGAAGGGAUUUGGAUUUUUCCCAGGAGGAGACUGCAUUAACGUUGGAAACCUAAUAGAGCCCUGA